AGGAACAUGUGGUUUAAUUCGAUGAUACGCGAGGAACCUUACCUGGCUUAAAUGUAGAGUGCAUUUUCUAGAGAUAGGAAUUCCCUUCGGGCUUUCUACAAGGUGCUGCAUGGUUGUCGUCAGCUCGUGCCGUGAGGUGUCGGGUUAAGUCCCAUAACGAGCGCAACCCUUAUCGUUAGUUGCCAUCUGGUAAAGCAGGGGACUCUAGCGAAACUGCCACCGUAAGGUGAGAGGAAGGUGGGGAUGACGUCAAAUCAGCACGGCCCUUAUGUCCAGGGCUACACACGUGUUACAAUGGUCGGUACAGAGGGCAGCUACCUGGUGACAGGAUGCUAAUCUCGAAAACCGGCCUCAGUUCGGAUCGAAGUCUGCAACUCGACUUCGUGAAGCUGGAUUCGCUAGUAAUCGCAGGUCAGCAUACUGCGGUGAAUACGUUCCCGGGCCUU
rnacentral:rRNA from 1 species